rnacentral:ncRNA from 2 species
UCGCAGCCCAGUGGUGAUUUGGCCGGUCGCUUGCAGCCACUCAAAACAAAUUGCUAAAGACCGUCUUGAGCCGGCC